rnacentral:rRNA from 1 species
GGGGAGCGUUCCGUUGUUGGGUGAAGUUUCCAUGGAAAUGGGAAUGGACAGAUCGGAAGUGAGAAUGUUGGCUUGAGUAACGAAAACAUUGGUAAGAAUCCAAUGCCCCGAAAACCGUUGGGUUCCUCCACUAGGUUCGUCCAUGGGGGGUGAGUCAGGACCUAAGGCAAGGCCGAAAGGCGUAGUCGAUGGAAAACAGGUUAAGAUUCCUGUACUGUUUUUAUUGGGAACCAAGGGACGAAGUAGACUAAACUGGGACUGUGAUUGGAAUACAUUGGAAGCGUUAAAGCAGACGAUUUUAGAAAAAAAACUAAAAUAAAGGAAAACGUGACCCCUAUUCUUAUAAGUAAUUAGAAGAGUAGCCAGUGAUGUCAAACUUCCAAGAAAAGCUUGUACACCAAAAAGAAAUUUUAAACAAUAAAAAUACUUGUACCUGAAACCGACACAGGUAGGUUGGUAGAGUAUACUAAGGGGCGCGAGAGAACUCUCUCUAAGGAACUCGGCAAAUUAACCCCGUAACUUCGGUAGAAGGGGUGCCUUAUUUCUAAAUAAGGUCGCAGAGAAAUGGCUUAAGCGACUGUUUAUCAAAAACACAGGUCUCCGCAAAGUCGAAAGACAAUAUAUGGGGGCUGACGCCUGCCCAGUGCCGGAAGGUUAAGGAAGUUGGUUAUUAUUAUUUAUAAUAAAAAGCUGAUAACCGAAGCCCCGGUGAACGGCGGUUGUAACAAUAACAAUCCUAAGGUAGCGAAAUUCAUUGUCAAGUAAGUUUUGACCUGCACGAAAGGCGUAACGAUUUAAGCACUGUCUCGGAGAGAGGCUCGGUGAAAUAGACUUGUCCGUGAAGAUGCGGACUAUAUCUACUUGGACAGAAAGACCCUAUGAAGCUUUACUGUAUCCUGGAAUUGGGUUCGGGCUUUUCUUGCGCAGUCUAGGUGGGAGGCGACGAAGAUCUUCUUCCGGGAAGGUCAGAGCCAAAAUUGAGAGACCACUCUGGAAGAGCUAGAAUCCUAAGGGUGUUCUUAAAAGAAAUGUAUAAGACACUUAACAGUUUCAGGAGGGCAGUUUCACUGGGGCGGUGGCCUCCUAAAGCGUAACGGAGGUGUGCAAAGGUUCUUUCAGCCUGGACGGAAAUCAGGCAUUGAGUGCAAAGGCAAAAGGGAGCUUGACUGCAAGACCUACAAGUCGAGCAGGGGCGAAAGCCGGCCUUAGUGAUCCGACGAUUCCAUGUGGAAGGGUCGUCGCUCAACGGAUAAAAGUUACUCUA